UCCGAAAACUUUCGAGAAACGUGAUCGCGGGAGAAGAACCAAACGACGUAAUAUGAUUCGUCGCACCGAUAACGCGCGUCACUACGCGCACACACACUCACGCGCACACACACACACUAUAGUUGCGAAUCGGUUUCGAGAAAGGCGAUCCUUCGAUCUUGUUUAAUUGGUAGAGCGCACCGGCUACCGUGUCACGAAUUUCGUGAUACGCGUAUUUCGCUGGAACGGUAAAUCACGGUCACGCACCGGCCUCGAAAACACGCUCAACCGACCGCUAUCGCUUUUGCAAAUAAGGAAAGCGCGAACACGAUGAUUUUUCACUCUUCCUCUCGAUUUUCGCUGCAACGACGCGCACGACGCUCCUUUCCUUCCCGUUUGCCUUCCUAUCGAACAGCGACUCGCGUUCUUCGGCUAGUUAAGCGCAACGGCCACGUAAUCGAACACCGGUAAAAAUAAAUUACCCGCCAGUUUCGAAAGCAACGAACGAUAGCGUGAAAGGAGAGAGACAACUCGGAGAAUCGUUAUUGUUGUUGUUCGAGGAACCUUGAUCCGCCAACGCGUCAGCUCUGGAUCGUGAUACGUAUUUAGAAAGAUUUAGUUUGUUCGAGCGGAAUUUUAAAUAAAAGGCAGACGCCGACCCUAUACAAUGGCAAUGUCUGCCGGUUUGACGGUUGACGACAAGUGAAUCUUUCUCGGUUGGCUCGUUGGUUAAAACAGUAAGAUCAGCCCUACGAGAUCAGGGGGAAACUUAGUCGCCUCUGUUACCGACCAGCUGCUCGCCCACGAGAACCUAUUUCACAAGCUUUCCUUCCCUCGACCAGAUUCUUUUUGCGACAUUGCGCCGCCGGCAAAAUAACCGCGACGGGUUACGGAAUUCAUUCUAAGCUGAUAGCCUCGCUCGCCUCUGUCCUUCGAUUGCCCAAGGAAACGGAGAAAAAUGAUCUGCGAAGGAAACGAAUCGACAUAGAAGGCGCGUUAAUCGCGACGCGGUACCACCGUUCACGAACUCGUAUCAUCGUAUCCUCGAAAUGCACGCGCCGAAAAUUUCCUAGUUUUGCGCGGCGAAACGUCUCGUUUAUCGCCAGGCGGAGCGAAAGCAAAAAGAAAUAGAAACGAUCGCGAGGCGACAGUUGGUAAUAGCGAUGGUACGUAAUGUAGAAACUCCGGCCUCCGAUAAUACCAAUAACGACAAAGAAAUAGGGGACUAUGAGGGAAAAGAGAUGGGAAAAAAGUGGAACAGCGAUAGUAGCGGCACUAGUAGUACAAGCAAGAGUAACAGCGUGGCGCGAGUAGAGAAGCAAGGGUAGCGGCCGGUCGUGUUCGUAAAAUAAUGCGUCGGAGCGUACUCGAGGCGCAGAGCGUCGCGACGCGGGUCCACCCUUAUCGCGAAGGGCAGAGGAACGAGCAUCGAGAACAGUCCCCCUCGUCUCGCGAGGAGAAAAACUCUCGUAGUGCGCGUAGUUGAAGUCGCGUCGAAUCACUGGCAUUUCGCGAGCUCUCGACGCUGCACCUCUCCCUGACUCACGAGAGAACCGCCACGGACACGGAGAAAGAGAAAGAGAAAGAGAAAGAGUGAGCGUGUGUAUGUGUAUGAGAGAGAGAGGGACCGCGCGGUGGCCAGACGGAGACAGCGACCUCUGGGAAGCGGGCCCCGUGACAGAGACGGAGAAACGGAGAAACAUCGAGGGGGGUAAGGAGCGGUAGUGGUGGUAUGCCGUCCGUCCACUCUCGUCUGCACACAACUCUGUUCUCUUGCUUCUCUCGCAGCAUCCCACUCUCCUUACCCCUUUUCUACCUCCUCUAGCGUUUUCUAUCUUCUUCUUUCUCCCUUCGUUCCGAGUCUCCCGCUGCUCUCCUCCUCGCUCCUCCCCCGCGGCAACACAAUCUUUCUCCUUUUCUCUCUCCACUGCCCCUUUCUGUCCCUUCUUUCCCUUCUUUCGUGUACGCUCGCCUCGCGUGUUCCGAGCCCAAGACCACGCUGCUGCCUUUCUUUCUCAUUUUCGUGUUACACGCCGAUCCUGCGGUCUCGCUCGUGCCCGCGAGAUUUUCUACCUCCACCCAUGCGCGUGUUCUUAAGGCGGACUCACAAAGAUCGCGAAUCGGAUAGAGAAUCCUCGAGCGAUGCGAACGAUGCAGACUCGCAAGCGGUAUCGUAGAUUUUUACCACAGCCCGUGUACACCUUUCCACGGCGUGGAGAGGAGACCCGUGGCUCGAAUGCAAACACAUCGCGAUCGAACGCGUUCGAUUCGUCACCGAUACGUUUCGUAUUUGACCUCCCUGAAACUUGUCCGCUCUUGUGAAACGCUUCGCUAUUAUUAAUAGCAUCGAAGGGUGAUUCCACGAACGCUUUUGCCGUCAACGUCAGCUACCUACGCUUCAUACCACCCUUUCCUCGGGUUAUCCGAUCUUCGCCGCCUUCAUUUCCAUCGAAUCUUCCACGUCGAUCACUGCUCGUAUUAUAGCUUACAACUAUGCGAUCCACGAAUAUGUUAUCGAGAGCAACUUUUAUUUCUUCCUUUCUUCUUCCUGAUAGCCGCGCUGUUUGAAAGAUACGUCGUCAGCGGAAGAAUAUCAGGGAUCAAGGAUGCCGUGUCGCUUUCGAGCAUGGCGUCGAUAGACGUAUCGUAAUACGACGUACAUGUACAACUUUGGAUACACAGCCUAUUGUAAGCCUCAAUUCUAGCGCGUAGCAGGUGAGAAGGUACCGCGGAGUCGAGGUUUAACGCUAGACGCGAUCAUUACGCGUUCUUACUACGAAGAUCGUAGAGGGGAGACUACUCGCAGAAAAUAAUAGACGAUAAACGAAAUAUAAAAUUGUGUCUGUCGUUCCUCCGAAUUGAGAAUUCACCUUCGAUCGUCACGAUUAAUUAAUUUACAAUUUUAUAAAUGUGCCAACCUUCAGGAAUCACAUGGUCCUCGAUGGGUUGAUAAUAUUAAAACUGUACUAUAUAAGAUGAAAUCCCUUUUGUAAGAAAGUAAUAAAUCAAUAAAUGGAAAAAUAUUCUCUUAUUGCGUAUUUUUUAAAGACCAGUCAUUUUUUUUUCCAUGUCAUGAUUUUGGUAGAAACAGUUUCGUCUUAACAGUCGUCUGUUUCUUCUAACGUUAAGAAAGAAAUAUUUAUUUCUGUUGCAAGUGCCGGAGGAACUCUUGUUCCUCGAUUGGAAUGGAAACGUGGUCCCUGCAGAGAACGCAAGCAACGACCAUGGCAGAGAACGGGCAAUAUCGAUGUUCGUUUUACGACGAAAAAAGGUUUAAAUUGACGGGUUGAUUGCUCGGUACUCUUCGACCUCCCACUCUCUAGCGCUAGCAGCGGCCCUUAACUACCAAAGAACCAAGAGCAUCGCCGUGCGUUCGUACUUUCCACGAAUACAACUCGAAACACCCACGCUCGAUCAUCCUGUGUAAGUAGCACGAUCCCGACGAAAUCAACGCUUCGUAUAGAAAGCAUGCAAGCCUUUAAAUAAAACUUCGUCGCGUUUCGGCUAGCCGAAACGUUUAAUCGCUGUCGCGAAAGGCGCGCCGAGAAAAAAGCAAUUGAAUUUAUGGAAUUUACGAAAGGCUGGGAAACGAGGCGGCGAGUCGUGAAUUUCGUGAAACGCAAACAACAGCUUCGAAGGAGCUAAAAUGCAUCGUGUACGACGACGGACGAGGAAAUAUCAAGCGAAUUACGAGAGAAUCGCGUUCUCGAACAAAGUCGAUAAAGAUAAAUCUUUAUAUCGCCGAUGACAUAGGUCGACUAAACGCCGAAUCGACGAUACAGAAUUAUACGAUGAUUUUCAUCGAGCCAGCUGUCAUACGCUUAUUGCCGAGAUAACGGGAUCCUUUAAUAUUGCUGUUGGAAACCAAUUUUUCGCAAUAUUGCUCUGUUGUUUUUCACGCUUACGAGUUAUCCGAUCUAAAUUAAUUUACGCUUUGUGCCACUGCGUCUAUUUCGAUACGUAGAAAACAAAAAGAUUUUGAAUAAGUGGAGAUCAAAUUUUCCCUAUCUCGAAAUCCCUAGCAGAGGAGCAACGACUUAAAAAAAAAACGACUAGAGCGGCAUGCGUUCGACGCACAAGACGCGCGAGAAACAAUAAAGGCGAGUGAAGAAGAAGAGUAGAAAAAUAAUCGAGCAAGUUCGAAACGAGAUUCGGAUCGAUAACCGAUAAAGAUAAUUCGAAGGCCCGGCUUGGCCGAUCGAUAAAGACGACACGUUGGACACGUAGCUUUCUACGAUGCAUCGGUAUCGUCGGAAGGUGCGGAGGAGGGAUAUAAUAGCCGAUAAGCGUGUGAUCUUUGGUCGUGGAGUAUAUGCAACGCGGCUCGGUGCAACGUGCAACUCAAGGCGACUUCAGGACGUUUACCCACGAAACCAGCGACCUUGAUCUUACAAACGGUCCACGAACGAGCUGCGACAGCAGCUGCACCGACACCGAUGGAUGCAUUCCACUAGAGUGCAGCCGCACCUGCGCCACCUAACCAGAGCUGCCGUUCUUCACUCUUGUCUUCUAGCGGACAAUUCCUUCUUCUUCCCGAGAGUUCCUCUUGUUUACCAAUUUCGCUGACCUCUCCGUCUUUUUUCUGGUCCGCGCUCGAUACCCGGCAAUCUCGUUUUAUGGCUUGAUUAGCCUCGGGAUUAAGUUAUCGACAAUCGUAGUCGAUACAAUUCUUUCCACCUGCACUUUUUCUCUACAAAUUACACUUUCCUUACGGAGGCAACAACGUUCUUGCUGUUCAAUUAUCUGUCGUACUUUUAUCAGUAUUGUGUUGUAAUCGUGUUUCUCAUAUUGCUUUACAAUUUUCUCAUGCUACCGUUUUAGAUACACACAUAUCUCGAAUUCGCAGACUGGGAAUAGUUAGCGCAUUAUUCACGGGUGUUUUAUCAGCGCCGCUGUUACAUAGCUGACCGAUAACAAGGUCCCACGCGAAACUAAUUAGCCGAUUAAAAGCGGCAAUGUCGUAAGAUUUGUUUUGAUUAUGUAAUAAGUGAAUUCCAAGCUGUACAUAAAUAAAGAUAGCGUGUAUCUCUGA